rnacentral:ncRNA from 1 species
GAACGCCGUAUGUAAUGAAAGUUACACGUACGGUGUGGAGCAGGGGAAAAGUUGGAGAUGAUAUCAAAAACUUACCUAUUGCUAU